rnacentral:rRNA from 1 species
GACGAACGCUGGCGGCGUGCCUACUACAUGCAAGUCGAGCGCGUACCCUUCGGGGUGUGAGCGGCGGACGGGUGAGUAACACGUGGAUAACUUAUCCAAAAGACGGGGAUUACCCUUGGAAACGAGGGUCAAUACCGGAUACGCCUCUCGGAUCGCAUGAUCUGGGUGGGAAAGGUGCCUUCGGGUGCCACUUUUGGGGAGAUCCGCGGCGCAUUAGCUAGUUGGUGAGGUAAGGGCUCACCAAGGCGACGAUGCGUAGCCGGCUUGGGAGAGUGAACGGCCACACUGGGACUGAGACACGGCCCAGACUCCUACGGGAGGCUG